UGCCUCAAAAGUUACUGUCAUAUGUGA
rnacentral:piRNA from 1 species